GACAAGAAAUAAUUUGGAAAUAUUGGGGGACCAGGCGGGUAAAUCCAACUCAAGAGGAAAGACUUCCACCCGUGCUCAGUCCUCACCAGGCUUUUAUUAAU